rnacentral:rRNA from 1 species
CAGGCUGNAACUCGCCUGCAUGAAGUCGGAAUUGCUAGUAAUCGCAGAUCAGCAUGCUGCGGUGAAUACGUUCCCGGGCCUUGUACACACCGCCUGUCACACCAUGGGAGUCGGUAACACCCGAAGUCGGUAGCCUAACCGUAAGGAGGGCGCCGCCGAAGGUGGGAUUGAUGACUGGGGUGAAGUCGUAACAAGGUAAC